GUGAGGGUGAUGAAAAAAAUCAUUCGGAUUCCCAAUGAUUUCCCUUACGUACGGGAAAGAUGUGAUUAUUUACCAGCUACUUUUGACUCAU
rfam:Arabidopsis lyrata subsp. lyrata unplaced genomic scaffold ARALYscaffold_8, whole genome shotgun sequence.